rnacentral:rRNA from 1 species
UAGGGAAUCUUCGGCAAUGGGGGGAACCCUGACCGAGCAACGCCGCGUGAGUGAAGAAGGUUUUCGGAUCGUAAAGCUCUGUUGUUAAGGAAGAACGAGUGUGAGAAUGGAAAGUUCAUACUGUGACGGUACUUAACCAGAAAGGGACGGCUAACUACGUGCCAGCAGCCGCGGUAAUACUUAGGUCCCGAGCGUUGUCCGGAUUUAUUGGGCGUAAAGCGAGCGCAGGCGGUUAGAUAAGUCUGAAGUUAAAGGCAGUGGCUCAACCAUUGUAGGCUUUGGAAACUGUUUAACUUGAGUGCAGAAGGGGAGAGUGGAAUUCCAUGUGUAGCGGUGAAAUGCGUAGAUAUAUGGAGGAACACCGGUGGCGAAAGCGGCUCUCUGGUCUGUAACUGACGCUGAGGCUCGAAAGCGUGGGGAGCGAACAGGAUUAGAUACCCUGGUAGUCCACGCCGUAUACGAUGAUGCUAGGUGUUAGUCCUUUCCCGGGACUUAUGCCUCAGCUAACGCAUUAAGCACUCCGCCUGGGGAGUACACCGCAAGUU